ACAAGGGCGUUUCAAAGAGCUGUCAGUCAAGGUGAGCUCAGGAACAUAAGCUCCCCGCCCACUCAGCCUGUUCUUUCAGUCUUCCUGAUUGUUUGAGAAGAGAAAAGUCAGGUCAACUCAGUCUGGUGCCUGAUCCACUGCUGUCGACCUCGGCCUGGCACCGGCGAGCCUUAACCUUGGAUCCCCCCCAACCUUCCAGGAGGCGUGUGGAUAGGGGGAGUGGGGCUAAGGCCUGAGGUGUGUGGAGAAAGCAAGGACCUGCCACAUUAUAUGCUUUAACAUGACUGGCAAAUCCACCACGGUUAAACAAACUUAACCUUCAUUUGUGAAACGGUGCAAAUCAAAGGGCAAAAAAGGACUUGUGCUGGUAAUUACCGCUGGGGGAGAGCAACAGGGGAUUCAGGGAUGGAGGAAGGAGAGAGGUGAGCGCCGGGAGAUAGAGAGGGGAGAAUACAAAAAGAAGGGGAAUCAUUUAAGGAGAAGACGCAUUUGUAAUGAGUUUGCCCAGAAAUGGAUUUUCCGCUGUAAUCUUUUAUUUAUAUGCAGGCUGGUCUCCCUCCCCGGCAGUGUGAGGGUCAGUCCUCUGUGAACCCUGUCAGGACCCCACUCCGUCAAACACCCAAAGACCGGGGAAAAUGGUAUUUUAGCAAAGGCAAACAUUGUCCUGUCUUGGCUUAAGGGGCGAAAUAGCUGUUUAUUUUUAAAAACUUGUUCCCCUUUAUCCAUCAUGCCAGAAAGUCUGUCAGGAGGAAGGAAGACAGGGGCAAAUUGAAAUUGGAACUAAGUUUAGACAGUUAUCAUCAUAAUUAUCCAAUUAAUAUUAAUGGAGUAGAGUGUCAUUAGAGCAUCUCAAUUAGGCAGAGGGUAUUUGGUUAGCAAGCAACCACCAGCAGAACAACUUGGAGGAAUGGCUGUGUAUGGUAGAAUGCAGUACUACUUGUGAAGGAGUGGCUUUCACUAAACAUUCACACUGUGUUACUUGAUUUAUAUUAUUACUAUUGGCAAUUGUCAUUUAUUGAGGGAGUUGUGAUUGCGUUUUGUAUAUUUCAUCUUCCGUAAAUUAAUAACUUUUAUAGGUGUCUCUGAGGAAUGAGAUGUUCAAUCUUAAAGGGAUUGUUUAUAUUAGGCUACAUAUUUUGAUUGUCUCAAGACGGAAUGGAAUAGAUGGAUCAUACACAGGUCAUAAUUACUGAGCUCAUUAAAUGUGUUAGGUUUGUGUCCACCGUGGUGAGCCACUAUUUCAGCCAUGUUCUUCUGCGCAUUAGAAUGAUGAACUAGAUUGCAUACGCAUAUAAAUUGAUCACAUAUAGGUGAUCCAAUAUCUAGCUAUAUUACUCAGUAUCCCAACAUAAUAAACACAUUCAACAU